rnacentral:rRNA from 1 species
UACGGGGGGGGGCAAGCGUUGUUCGGAAUUACUGGGCGUAAAGGGUCUGUAGGUGGCCAACUAAGUCAGACGUGAAAUCCCUCAGCUUAACCGGGGAACUGCAUCUGAUACUGGAUGGCUUGAGUUCGGGAGAGGGAUGCGGAAUUCCAGGUGUAGCGGUGAAAUGCGUAGAUAUCUGGAGGAACACCGGUGGCGAAGGCGGCAUCCUGGACCGACACUGACGCUGAGGAGCGAAAGCCAGGGGAGCAAAGCGGG